rnacentral:tRNA from 1 species
GCCGGAAUAGCUCAGUUGGGAGAGCGUUAGACUGAAUUUGUUUACGAAACAAUAAUCUAAAGGCUCCGGUUCAAUCCCGGGUUCCGGCA